rnacentral:lncRNA from 1 species
UCACAAAUGGUCUUAGCUACUUUCUCACUGCUGUGAUAAAGUAUCCUGAUAAAAGCAACUCAAGGGGGGAAAUAUUUAUUUUGAUCCACAGUUCCAGAAAGAUAUAGUCAAUCAUAUCAAGGAACACUUGGCAGCCGGAGCAAGGAAGCUGGUUGGUCACAUUGUGUAUCCAUUUAGGAAACAGCAAACAGGAAGUGGGGUCAGGCUGUAAAGCUCUUCCACAGUGACAUAUUUCUUCCUUCCAGACUCUACUUCCUGAAAGUUCCAAGCCUUCCUAAACAGCACCACCAGCUGAAAACCAAGUGUUCAAAUGUAAGAGCCGAUGGGAGACAUUCUACAUUUAAACCACAACAUAAGCAUGAAUUCCAUCCCUCUCCUACUGCCUCAUGAACAGUCUGGAACAAUCUACGCUAUAAGAUACACCCUCCACACCUUCCUGGACCAGUUUUGCCUCCGGUUCAACAUAUGCAGUAGUGAUCUAUUUUUGCUUAUGUGUAUGUGUAAGUGUAUGCAAAGUUCAGGUACCCUUAGAAGUCAAAAAAGGAUGUUAGAUUUCCUGGAGCUAGAAUUACAGUUAUGAGCCACCCAACAUGGAUUGUGGGACCUGAACUUAGCUACGAGAAGAACAGCGCACACUUUAAGCCACUGAGCCAUCUCUCCAGCCCCUCAAAGUGCCCUGCAGUAAAAUUGUGAUGGAGCUUUGUAAGUUAAGCUGUGACCAUUCAUUAAUUAAUCACCUCUGUGACUUUCCGUAGCUUACUUUCUAUGUUAUGAGAGGCCUGUUUUAUAUAUAUAUAUAUAUAUAUAUAUAUAUAUAUAUAUAUAUAGGAACAAGUGCUCUUGGAACCAUUUAAAGAGCAGGCAGAGAGAAGAAAGGGGUGAACUGUUGAGUUUGGUAACUUCAAAUUGACUUAUAUGGUAUCUGGGCAUCUUUAAAUGGCUUAAAAAUUUGUUUGGUGAUCCUUCUUUGAAAGCUACUGAGUUUAAAUCUGUGGCUAGACUUGCUGGCUCCAGCACACUCUGAUACUUAUGGAAGAAGUGAGUUGUGUAGGUUUGUUUAGA